CAGCAGCCGCGGUAAUACGAGGGGUGCAAGCGUUAAUCGGAAUUACUGGGCGUAAAGCGUGCGUAGGUGGUUUGUUAAGCAAGAUGUGAAAGCCCCGGGCUCAACCUGGGAACUGCAUUUUGAACUGGCAAACUAGAGUAUUGUAGAGGGUAGUGGAAUUUCCAGUGUAGCGGUGAAAUGCGUAGAGAUUGGAAGGAACAUCAGUGGCGAAGGCGGCUACCUGGACAAAUACUGACACUGAGGCACGAAAGCGUGGGGAGCAAACAGG
rnacentral:rRNA from 1 species